AUGGGAACAGCACGGCCGCAAAUCUGACUCGCCCGCACGGGCUCCGGGAUUGCGGUAGUGU
rfam:Halococcus saccharolyticus DSM 5350 contig_16, whole genome shotgun sequence.